AAAAGUUCUUGGUCAAAUAUAGCUUCCCAGAAUUCGUCCAUUCUACUAGCUGAGCCUGCAGAUGAUACAGGAAUGAUAUAUACUUGCUGUUUCCCGUUGCAUUUAUUCUUAUGACGAAAAAAAGUCAAAAAUCAUACGAACACGUAUUCAGGUUCAUAAACUCAAAUCUUUUAGAGCUAAAGCCUAAGACGUUUAUAACCGAUUUUGAAAAAGAACUUCGUAAUUCUCUUACAAAAGUUUUUCCUGAAGUUCGAUUGAAAGGGCUGAGCUCUAUAGCAAAUUCGAAAACGUAUUCCAACAAUUCUUUGAUUAUUUUGACCGUCAAUGGAUUCAAAUGGAAACUCCUGCAAUGUUUUCUGUCCAUAACGAAUGUGUAAGGACGACCAGUGCUGUUGAAGGUUACAACAGCUAUUUGAGUUCACAAAUUCCUAUGCAUGGAAGCUUCUGGAAUUUCUUGCAAGUUAUUAAACAGGAAGAAUUCCAAAAAUAUACUGAGUUAGACCAAGCGCUGGAUGGAAUUUUCGACAUUUUUGAAAGGCCUAAGAAACGAUUCCGAGAUCGAAGCACACAAAUAAAAAAAUUAACUGAAAAGCUUAAUCUUGGCGAAAUUUCUCCAAAUACCUUUCUGAACAUACUGACUAAUAAAACAAAAACAUUUUGCCACCAACGUCAAUGCAUUCCAUAAUAGACGAUAAUAAUUAUUCUUCAUCUGAGUCCGAACCUGAAACUUCUCCUCCAGAGGGAGUUUCAUGCGAAAUUUGCUUCAAAAAUAAGAAGAACACUCUUAUGAAACCCUGUAGACACGCCAAACUUUGUCGAUUUUGUUUCCAUGAAAUUCAAAAGGUUCAUAACCAAAGAUCUACACUUACGUUAUGUCCAUUUUGCAGACAAAUCGUGGAAGCUGUGGAAGAGAUAUACACUUGAUUU